rnacentral:rRNA from 1 species
CUUUACUGUAGCUUGGAAUUGGGUUCGGGCUUUGCUUGCGCAGGAUAGGUGGGAGACUAUGAAGCUGCCCUUGUGGGGGCAGUGGAGUCAUCAGUGAGAUACCACUCUGUCAAGGCUAGAAUUCUAACCGUCUGCCGUUAUCCGGCGACGGAACAGUAUCAGGUGGGCAGUUUGACUGGGGCGGUCGCCUCCUAAAUGGUAACGGAGGCGCGCAAAGGUUCCCUCAGGCUGGUUGGAAAUCAGCCGAAGAGUGUAAAGGCAGAAGGGAGCUUGACUGCAAGAGCAACAACUCAAGCAGGGACGAAAGUCGGCCUUAGUGAUCCGACGGCGCUGAGUGGAAGGGCCGUCGCUCAACGGAUAAAAGUUA